ACUGAACUAACAUCCCUAGCCAUUUUUAACUUUAAUUUUGAGACAUGGUCUCUCUAAAUUGCUGAGGCCUUGAAUUUGUGAUCCUCCUGCCUCAGUCUUCUGAGUAGCUGGGAUUACAUGUAUGCACCACUGUUCCUGGCUGAGUUUACACUCUUUUGGGGGUGGAUCCAGCACAGUCACAUUCCUGUGUAGGUGGAGGGCAAAAUAUGGGAGACAUAAAUGCAGAGAUCCAAUGAUUUAGCACUUCACUGAACCUUACACACCCAUAUACACCUAUCCCUAUGCACUCUGACAUAGACACAUUCACAAAUACAAAAACAGUUAUUUAGAAGAACUCAUAGACAUCAUCAAUUUUUUUGUUAGAGGCUUUCUUCAAAGUUCUGCAGUCUUUACUUAUGUUUACAUGUAGCAGAGUAAAAGAGCUUAUCAAAGGUUUGGAACUGUGGGUGGGCUUUGUCAACUGUAUGCAUCACCAUGGGAUGAUCUAGCUGAACUGUUUUUAAAAAUUCCAAUGCAGUGUCUGUAUGUCUUUCAUUUUGGACUGAGAAGAGUCUUCAGAACAUACUUCUUCAAUCUUUGGCCUAAGGGCAAUAACCAAGCUGCCAGUGUUCUGAGAACUGAACACUGAUCUAGGUAGAAGAGGGCUGCUGGGGCUUUAGCAUUCAGUAUAAGGAGUUUUACCUGCUUUUAAGUGUGGUACCCUGUCUUCAACUUGUAUUCCCAGUGUUGAGAUCCUUGCCAAAA
rnacentral:lncRNA from 1 species